rnacentral:rRNA from 1 species
UACGUAGGGUCCGAGCGUUGUCCGGAAUUAUUGGGCGUAAAGGGCUCGUAGGCGGUUUGUCACGUCGGGAGUGAAAACUCAGGGCUCAACCCUGAGCGUGCUUCCGAUACGGGCAGACUAGAGGUAUGCAGGGGAGAACGGAAUUCCUGGUGUAGCGGUGAAAUGCGCAGAUAUCAGGAGGAACACCGGUGGCGAAGGCGGCCUGCUGGGCAGUAGCUGACACUGAGGCGCGACAGCGUGGGGAGCAAACAGG